GGAUGAGUGGGUGCAUGGUUGGAGAUGGAUGGAUGGGUGGGUGGAUGCUUGGAUGGUUGGAUGGAUGGACGGAUGGAAUGGAUGGAUGGGUGGGUGGAUGCUUGGAUGGUUGGAUGGAUGGACGGAUGGAUGGAUGCGUGGAUGGAUGGGUGGGUGGAUCGUUGGAUGGAUGAAUGGAUGGGUGGAUGGGUGAACAGGUGGAUGAGUGGGUGGGUGGAUGAGUGG
rnacentral:lncRNA from 1 species